UAGCUAUUUCAUAAGCUGUUCUCUAGCAUAUUCCUUUCAGUUAAUGGUAUGAUCUACCUCAUUCUUUUUAAUCCACUCCAUGGUGUUUUAUAACUUUUUGCUGUUUUAAAUAUUUAGAUUGUUUUCAAACUAGUAAUGUUUUGAUGAAUAUUUUUAUGUACAUAGUCAAGUGUUUCUGUAGGUUAGGUAUCUAAAAAUGAAGUUUUAGUAUUAUGUAUUAUAGAGUAUGUGAAUUUACAGUUUUAAUACAUACCACCAAAAGCCCUCUCAAGAUGAGAAACUUACCAGAAGUCUGUGAAAAUACUUGCUUCCCCAAACUUAGUGUAACAGGAAUAUGCAGGUAAGAGGAAAGAAAAUUUUUAAGGAAAAUAUAUUAAUUUAUUAUGAUGAUGAUAAUUUGGAAAUUUCUGUAUUUUUUUUUUUUAAUGUGGGAAUGGGGAAGGCUUCACUUUUCAAACUUUAUGUAAAGUAUUGACAUGUUUUGUUCUAACAAGGUGUUUUGAGAAUUAUUAGAAUAAUUACAAGUGGGUUUUACUAAGUGUAUAGAAGCUUGUAUAUUGAUUAUGAAUUAUGUCUUAUUGUCUCUAAAUUGUUUAGUGGAAAGAAAUAUUAAUGGAACAUUGUUGUCUCAAGCAACUUGUGAGCUCUGUGAUAAAAGUGAAAACUCUUUUACGGUAGCAAAUGCUUUAGGAAACAGGUGUGUCCGAUGUGAACCAACAUUCAUUAAUACCAACAGGUCCUGUGCAUGUUCAGAACCUAACAUUUUAACAGGGGGAUUAUGUUUCAGCAGCACAGGGAAUUUUCCUCUACGUAUGAUUUCAACUGCACGUUAUGGAGAGCUUG